UACGUAGGCAGCAAGCGUUGUUCGGAAUUACUGGGCGUAAAGAGUGUGUAGGCGGUUUUCUAAGUUCGGUGUGAAAUCUCCCGGCUUAACUGGGAGGGUGCGCCGGAAACUGGAGGACUGGAGUGCCGGAGAGGAUAGCGGAAUUCCUGGUGUAGCGGUGAAAUGCGUAGAUAUCAGGAGGAACACCUGCGGUGUAGACGGCUAUCUGGACGGAUACUGACGCUGAGGCGCGAAAGCUAGGGGAGCAAACGGG
rnacentral:rRNA from 1 species